AGGACCCACCUGCAGGGAAGAGAAAAAGGCAGUGAGCAGUGAGUGUGGUGCAGGGUUAGGAGCAGGCCCUCAGCAUCCUCAUGCUCAGUGCAUGGGAAACCUGGUACCUUGUUCUGCUCAGGCACACGGAAGCCCAGCCCCAUCUUUUCUCCACACAGGUUGUGAUAGGCAGGCGCCCUCCUAAUUUUACUCCACAAGGCCUUAUGUCAGGAAUCCUUAAGAGGCAAUGCUCCCUGCCUCCCAUCCACUUCAGGCAGCUCUAAUGCGGGACAGAGCACUGGGUCCCAGCCCAGGACCCUACUGGCUAUCUGGGUGACCCGGAGCAGGGCAGUUUUGAGCCUCAGUCCUCUAGCCUCAGAAAUGGAAGGCACUGGGAAGAUGACAACAGUCUAAGUGGUGAUGAAGGCGCUUGGCAGGAAGAAAGCACCGGAAGUGCAAAGUAAAGGAGGCCACUUUAGGGAGAGCUAACAUGCACCUCCCUCCUGCCCCGGGGACAUUCCAUCCUCUGGAAUGAAAAUGGAGAUCCUAAGGCCCGAAACCCGGUAUCUCUUACUAGUGGAGCAGGAGCACUUGGGGUACAUUUCGAGCCGAGGUGGUCGCGUUAUCCUCAUCCCCCGCCCUGCACCUUCGUCAUCAGCUUUGCCUCUCCCGUGUCCGUGUGUAGCUCCAUCCUCGUGCUCGCCUUCUUCAUUGGCGGAAGCUGGGAGCCGAGAGAGUGAGCCGUGCGCAGAUGUGCGGCGGUGGAGGUGGCUUUUGUUUCUCCUCCGCGCCCCCUCCCCCCCCGCCCCGCACAUUGCCUGUCGCUCUUCCCACCUAGGACCCUCAAACUGGUUCCCCCUGUACACAGAACCUGGCGACCACGGAUCAUCCCCUCUCUCUUCCUUCGAUGCGAUCAUAUAACAUUUAGAUUUUGCCAGGCCCCUUUAAAUCAUUGCUUCUUUGAACCCUCCCAACAAUCCUAAAGGGAAAUACUGUUUAUGAACCCGUUUUACUAAUCUGACAAUUAUAGCAUAAAGUUUAAGUAACUUGCUCAACAUCACGGAAUGGAAAAGUUGUCACUGAUUUGAAUCCAGCCAGCCUCUCAAGAGAAAGUGUCGAUGAUCAAGCCUUCCUUUGGCCCAGGUUACAUGAAGGUCAAAUGACAUGAAGAAUGGGAAAGGAUUUUAUGAGUGUUCAAAUGUUGGGGGAGCGUCUUAUCACAGAGGACUUUCUGCAGGAGGACAUCCACACUCCUCCUGUCACUGGAUCAGCCAGGUAUGCAACCACUUCACAGCAUCCCACCCAGAGCAAUGCUUCCAAACCAAUGAGCCUUUCUCCAGGAGUGAGUUAGGAUUUAAUGGUAUCUUUUUCCAAGAAAGUCAGUGCAGAGAGAAUGAUCAUAAUCACCAUUGUUUAUUAAAGCCUAGGCAGCAGCCAGGCCACUCUCUUAUUUUCUUUUUUUCUUUUCCUUUUUUUUUUUUGAGACAGAGUCUCAUUCUGUUGCAUAGCCUGGAGUGCAGUGGCACAAUCUUGGCUGACUGCAGCCUCUAUAUCCUGGACUUAAGCAAUCUUCCCAUCUCAGCCUCCAGAGUAGCUCAGACAGACACAGGCCACCAGAGCCAUAUAAUUUUUGUAUUUUUUGUAGAGACGGGGUUUCUCCAUGUUGCCCGGGCUGGUCUCAAACUCCUGGGCUCAAACAGUCUCCCUACUUCUGCCUCCCAAAGUGCAGGUAUUACAGGCAUGAGCCACUAUGCCCGGCCCACACUCUCAUUUAAUCCCUGCAUUGAGAUAUAAUCUCCUUUCUACAAAUGAGGCACUAGAUGCUCAGAGAGUGUGGGUGACUUGCCCAAACCACACAGCCAGUAAGUGGUGGAGUGGGCUGUGAAAUAAGACUCCCUGACACCUAAAACUAUGCCCUAGGGGCAGGCUGCCUUCUGAAAUCAUUUCACAAGGAAGCAACAGGUAAGUGUGGUCCUGACUUCUACACAAGGAGAUUCAUCUUCCUCUUUGACUGAACAUCAAAUAGCAUUCCCUCCACAAGUGGAGGGACUAACUUGUCAUUAACAAGACAUCCAGGGACUCUUUCUUUCCUAAGGAACAUCACCACACUCAGCCAGCUGCACAAUCUGCCAUAGCUGUGUUCUGAGAACUUCUGUAAACAAAGUAAUAUUAAUUAUGGAGAUGAUGAAAUCACAAUCAAAAUUCCAAACUAAGUUCAUCUGCAACCCACGAUCACACUACAUCUUGGCGGGAAUAUGCUGGUUUGAAGUAGUCAAGGGCUGGAGUUUGAAAGAGGAACAAAUGAAGCCUGACCUUGGGAGGAACUUCCAAAGAUUCUGAGCCAACUCCCAACAGGGAGCUCUCAGGAUUCAGCGAGUGUCCUGAGUGUGCUGUCUGUCUGUGACGCCGGCUAGGCCAAGCCUGAUGGUUCCUCAUGAGAAUGUCCUGGCCUGUGCUGCUGAAGGUGUGGUCCACAGUGGGGUCAGUCUGCUGUUUCCAGUCUCCAAUGCAACUCAUCCAUGAACAUAUGUGCAGAGUUUGUAAACCUUCCAUUUUUCUGUUAUUUCUGUAUGUAUUUAUUGAUUUUUUUGUGUAAAAUGUAAAACAUGGGUUCUGUAUUUUGUGUUUCAUUAUCUUCAUAGUUAAUAUUACUUUAUUUACAAAGGUUUAGGUCUGGGAUGGAUAGAAAAUGAAAACUGUCCCUUCACCGUGGAGUUUGAGAAGCCCCGUGGAGGAUUCAAGUAAUUUAGGCAUUGGAAUCCACCUCCUGUGGUCACUUUCAAGCCUAAAAUCCGCGGAGGAUCUGAACUUGGGCAGGGAAACCUGAGAAUAAACAUGAGGAAUGGAGAA